rnacentral:rRNA from 1 species
CCUACGGGUGGCAGCAGUGGGGAAUAUUGGGCAAUGGGCGCAAGCCUGACCCAGCAACGCCGCGUGAAGGAAGAAGGCUUUCGGGUUGUAAACUUCUUUUCUCAGGGACGAAGAAAGUGACGGUACCCGAGGAAUAAGCCACGGCUAACUACGUGCCAGCAGCCGCGGUAAUACGUAGGUGGCAAGCGUUAUCCGGAUUUACUGGGUGUAAAGGGCGUGUAGGCGGGACGGGAAGUCAGAUGUGAAAACCACGGGCUCAACCUGUGGCCUGCAUUUGAAACUGUAGUGCUAGAGUACAGGAGAGGCAGGCGGAAUUCCUAGUGUAGCGGUGAAAUGCGUAGAUAUUAGGAGGAACACCAGUGGCGAAGGCGGUUUGCUGGACAGCAACUGACGCUGAGGCGCGAAAGCGUGGGGAGCAAACAGGAUUAGAUACACCAGUAGUC